rnacentral:rRNA from 1 species
UACGAAGGGGGCUAGCGUUGCUCGGAAUCACUGGGCGUAAAGGGUGCGUAGGCAGGUCUUUAAGUCAGGGGUGAAAUCCUGGAGCUCAACUCCAGAACUGCCUUUGAUACUGAAGAUCUUGAGUUCGGGAGAGGUGAGUGGAACUGCGAGUGUAGAGGUGAAAAUUCGUAGAUAUUCGCAAGAACACCAGUGGCGAAGGCGGCUCACUGGCCCGAUACUGACGCUGAGGCACGAAAGCGUGGG